ensembl:lncRNA
CCUCACGCAACACCGACAUUACUACCGACUGAGAACACACAGCACUUUUCAGCCAGCCGAUUACUCUUAUGAAAUUCUAUUUCUCUCUUCCUCGUACUUUAUCAUUCACCACUGCAACACCCUGAAUCCUGUGCCUACCAGAAGGGGAGCCUCAUCAUUGUCUUGCUUCAGUUAGGGAACUCUCUGUACCUUGCUUAGAUUUAUUAGAGACUUCUAUUGAGAAUCUCAACCUAAUGUUGUUUGUUGAUGGAUCACACCUCAGAAGUGAAACUGGAGAUUAUCAAACAGGAUAGGAUAUGCUCUCCUUUCGAAUCGAGUCCUCUACCUGAGGUAACAUCAGCCCAGAUGGCAGAAGUCGUUGAGCUUACUAGAGCUUGUCAACUAGCCAACGACCAGAGAGGAAACAGAUAUACAGAUGGCAAGUAAGCUCUUGGAGGAGUGCAUGACUUUGAGAUGCUUUUCUCACCUCUGCUGUAACCACCAUAAAAACGGACAGGAAGUUAAGGAACUUUUAGAUGUCCUCUUCCUUGCUAAAGCGGUGGCUAUUAUAGAGGUUGAGCCCACGUGAAAAGAGAUAAUAUGAAAGCUACAGCAAAUGCUCUAACAGGUCCUUAUGCCAAACAAGCUGCUUUAACCAAAGCUAGGAUCCUAUCUAAAUCCUCAAAGGAUAUAUUGCUGGGGGGAUUCAAAGAGGCCAUUAUAAAAUAUCAACGCAACAAAUACCGACAACAGACAACAAAAGCCGCCAUGUGCUUUUACAGGAAGCACAUGGGAAACAAAAUGACAUAGGAGGUUGAAAAUAAAGGGAUGAAAAACCAUAUGAAGCAAGUAAUAAAAGAAGGUUAAUUGCUAAUAUAUGACGAAGUAAUAUUCUACUACAUCAAAAGGCAAAAAGAAGAAAUAGAAAUAUUUUAUACUUAUUAAAGAAAAAUCAACUACAAACCUAUCUCCUUCAUGAGUAGUCCUACCCUGGUGGGGUGUAGGCUCAUUUCUGAGAAUGUUUUGCUCCAUGUCUGCGUCCUGCUUGGCUUUGGGUCUCUUCGCUUGGCAUUGGGUCUUCCCAGAAAAAAAUCUCUCUUGUGCUUCUCUUGUGUGUAUGUCUCUGUUAUUUUUUCUUGACACUUGUUAGCGUGGUGGUGAGAGAUGCAGGGACAAAGAUGUUUUCUGAUCCUAGGACUGGGCCUCAGUCCUGGCCAAUCCCUGUGCACCUGGCGCUGGGGGCGUGGCCUCACAAAUGGUCUUGCCCCUCCUCCAGACCUAGUGCUGGGCUUUGCUCUAGUCCUGCCCUUCUUCCAGGGGUAGAGCCUUUUUUUUUUCUCAGCUGAUUGCUUCAGCCCCCUCCAGUACAGUUUGUGUUGCUCUUCCUCCUGAAGAUUCAGGCUUUUGCUUCUUAGGGGAGAUAGGUCUUGGUGGAGUUUUAGCAGGGGCUGCCAUUCCCCUCCCCCAGCCAGCCCUCAGCUGAGCACCUGGUGGGGUUCCUGAGAGAAACACACCUGUAAGAGUUUGCAGAACUCCUCUGUGUCUGGGAUUCAUGUUCUUCACAUAGCCCCCACGCAGCCUUUAGGAAUUCCUUGAAAGCUGCUGUCUGAAUCUCCUGUGGACUUCCGUGGUGUCUGGUAGUCCGCCCCAGCCCUUCUUCCUGACUACCCAGGACAGAAAACAACAGCCUGAGUGGCUUCUAUCAAGACACCAGCAGAAAAGGGUAAAGUGCAGAGAAGGAGAGACCGCCUGAGAGGAAACUUGCUGCAUCUCAAAAUCCUACAGGGAAAAGCAAUGACCCACAGCUCCAUUAAAGACAAAAGAUGUCCUUCCAAACCCAGCGCAGGGUUGGGAGACAUUGGGCCAGGGAGAAGAGCAUAAAUCCAAUGGGAGAAGAACAGCAUACAAAUGACCUAAUUCAAACUCUGUGCCAUAAAGGCAGCAUCCUAAACAGUGCAGGGUGGUGGCAGAUCCAGGGUCCUGGAUCCUCCAGACGUGGGCUCAAGCCUCUGCUCUGUCACUUCCCAAAUCUUGGGAAGCUUACCCUCUCUCAACUUGUUUCCUCAUCUGUGAAAUGGAGAUAACUGUGCCUACCAUUCAAGGGCUUGUGAAUUUGAAUGCGAUAAUCCACGUGAAGUGCUGGCACUGAGGGGUGGUCAGCUUCAGACGCCUCUCAGAGGAGGCAGGGGUCUUCUUCUCUGGGGCCAACUGUGUGCUGGUUAUUGAUCUUGGUAAGCAGAGGACAUCCUGUUUUAGUUUUUCUCUAUAUUUCCAUUUUCUAGCAUUUUUACAGAUGCUCAACCUCACUCCUAAGGGAAAUGCAAAUUAAACUACACUGAAAUAGCAUUUUUCACCCAUCAGAUUGGCUAACAUCCUGAACAAAUUCUCAUGUAGAAGCCGUGAAGAAUCA